AACUAUUAGGUGCUUGACAUUUUAGUAUGCAAAUUUUAAUUUAUUAUAAUUUUUAAUUUGAACUUUCUUAAUUGAUGUAAUUAAAUUUUACAAUCUAAUUUAAUUGACUAAGUAUUGAUGCAUUACAAUAAAUCUUGCACUUAAACACUUUAAAUAACAACUAGCGACGCUUUAAAGUGUCAGCAAGAAUAACCCCAACGCUUGUAAAAGCAUCAAGCAAAAAGUUGUUAAAUAAAUACGGAGGAAAAAAUAUAUCCAUGCUUUAAUAUAGCAUCGAAAAAAAAUUUUCGGUUUUUCAUAAAAAUAUAUUUAUUGGCGAUACUUAAUCAUGGUAUUAGCACACGUUAAAUAUUGAAAACGCUAAAAUAAAACAUUAUCUAAAAAGUAUCGUCUAAAUCAUAUUUUGUUGUAGUGAUAAGUGUCGUUAGGCGAAAGUAAUGUAAUAGUGUAAUGAUCAAUAACGCAAAAGAAAUUAAAAUGUCACAUCAGUAAUAUAUUAAUAUUUAGCCAACUAAAUUAUAUUAUGAAACUUAAUUAUAAUAGUUU
rnacentral:lncRNA from 1 species